rnacentral:rRNA from 1 species
UACGAAGGGGGCUAGGCGUUGCUCGGAAUCACUGGGCGUAAAGGGUGCGUAGGCGGAUUGUUAAGUCAGGGGUGAAAUCCUGGAGCUCAACUCCAGAACUGCCUUUGAUACUGGCGAUCUCGAGUCCGGGAGAGGUGAGUGGAACUGCGAGUGUAGAGGUGAAAUUCGUAGAUAUUCGCAAGAACACCAGUGGCGAAGGCGGCUCACUGGCCCGGUACUGACGCUGAGGCACGAAAGCGUGGGGAGCAAACAGG